rnacentral:rRNA from 1 species
AUUGAACGCUGGCGGCAUGCUUUACACAUGCAAGUCGAACGGUAACAGGUUAAGCUGACGGGUGGCGAACGGGUGAGUAAUGCAUCGGAACGUGCCCGGUCGUGGGGGAUAACGCAGCGAAAGUUGCGCUAAUACCGCAUACGAUCUGAGGAUGAAAGCGGGGGACCGUAAGGCCUCGCGCGAUCGGAGCGGCCGAUGUCAGAUUAGGUAGUUGGGGGGGUAAAGGCUCACCAAGCCAACGAUCUGUAGCUGGUCUGAGAGGACGACCAGCCACACUGGGACUGAGACACGGCCCAGACUCCUACGGGAGGCAGCAGUGGGGAAUUUUGGACAAUGGGCGAAAGCCUGAUCCAGCAAUGCCGCGUGCAGGAAGAAGGCCUUCGGGUUGUAAACUGCUUUUGUACGGAGCGAAAAGGUCUCCUCUAAUACAGGGGGCUCAUGACGGUACCGUAAGAAUAAGCACCGGCUAACUACGUGCCAGCCGCCGCCGUAA